rnacentral:lncRNA from 1 species
UCUAUGGUGUUGCUAGUGCCGAUAUCAUCUUUGUAUUGCAUUGUAUUCCCCACAUCGAUCUUUAACUCUUCAUCAUAGACCUUGAGGGUCAUAGUUCCUUCCUCAAUAUUUAUCAUACACCGUCCUGUUUCCAAGAAAGGUCUUCCCAAUAUGAGAGGAAUCUCCUCAUCCUCCGGCAUUUCCAGAAUGACAAAGUCGACUGGAAAGACAAACUUGUCAAUUUUUACAAGAAC